GGGCGUGAGAACUAUUAAAAAUAGUUCCCAGUGGGCAAUUACUGACUUCAGUGAAUGCACCACGAGGCCCAAAGCUACAAAAGAUGUCAGUGACUAUAAAUGUAGAAAAGCGAAAGGUAAGUAAAAAAAAAUAACCUACUACAACAUGAUAUCUUUACUUAGCAUAAAUAGCAUAAGUAUGAAAGCAACUAUGCAUGAAGUAAAAGUCUCCAACUAUCAUAAUGUUCACAAUGCGAAAUAGUAAAGUUCCGUUGUUUACUAUUCUAGUCAAUUUCCAAGUAAUACUCUAAGUCAUCAUCUGUCCACAUGUCAUAAUGAAUACUCAAGUCAAAUCUAAAGAGACCCACCCGAAGGCUGUCUUUGGCCCUGAGACCCACCCGUAGGCUGUCUGGCCGGUGCCGAGCCUAAUGGCCCCGUGGUAGUCAUCAUCCCCACUCUAGGAAUGAGCCUGGCCCACGGCAAUCCACUUCGGCGCCCAAUCCCGCACGGCGAAUAUGAAUCGCGAUGGCUAUCUCCGGAGUGCCGGCUUGUAGGGAGCGACCCUCACAAGUAUGUGCGAAUAAGCACAAUGGCAAG
rnacentral:lncRNA from 1 species